UACGAAGGGGGCUAGCGUUGCUCGGAAUCACUGGGCGUAAAGGGUGCGUAGGCGGUUCUAUAAGUCAGUGGUGAAAUACGGCAGCUCAACUGUCGAGGUGCCAUUGAUACUGUAGAACUUGAGUACAGACGAGGUAGGCGGAAUUGACGGUGUAGCGGUGAAAUGCUUAGAUAUCGUCAAGAACACCGAUAGCGAAGGCAGCUUACUAGACUGUAACUGACGCUGAGGCACGAAAGUGUGGGGAUCAAACAGG
rnacentral:rRNA from 1 species